UCCGAUAAAAAUUCUAUAAAAAGCUUACUAUGUAAGGGCUUAAAGAAUGCCCCAGGGACACUAUUUAGCAUUUGCCUUAUUUAAAACAAUAUCAUAUCAUGCAUAUAACAAUGAUAUGUAUUGGUACAAUAUAAUAUAAUACACACAAUAUAUAUUGGAAUUAACCAACAAAUUAACACACACAAAUUUAAAAACCAAUUAAGACCUAACCAUCGAGGCCUAAGUUAUUUAUCAAUAUAUAAUUUAAUAAUAAUUGAUCCUUUCACACUAUAUAAUAUAUAUUACCAACAAAAGACAUGCAUGCAUCAUGGAGUAGAGGAUUUAUGAACGGUUGGAGGAUUAGUUCUGUCCUGGACCAGCUGCUGCUUGAGUGUAAGGACAUAAUUGAAAAAACAAAGCACAAGCGACACGGUCGUGGAGAACGAAGCACUGAUAAUUCCAGGAAGGGCACGGAUAUAUAAAGCUGUCCUUCCCCUCAACAUGGCCAUUGAAUAUUGCCAUGACAAGAACUAAGACAAUUUUUUUUUUUGAAGAAGCUAAAUUAGCCCACCAAAAUGGGUUAGAACUAAGACAAUUAGUGAGCCAGUUACUGUUUUAAAAGCCAUAGUGUAUGUAUAUGAAUUACUUUCUAAGUUUAAUUUUUUCUCUUGAAUCUUGUGUUGUGUGAAUACA
rnacentral:lncRNA from 1 species